rnacentral:rRNA from 1 species
UACGAAGGGGGCUAGCGUUGCUCGGAAUCACUGGGCGUAAAGGGUGCGUAGGCGGGUCUUUUAAGUCAGGGGUGAAAUCCUGGAGCUCAACUCCAGAACUGCCUUUGAUACUGAAGAUCUUGAGUUCGGGAGAGGUGAGUGGAACUGCGAGUGUAGAGGUGAAAUUCGUAGAUAUUCGCAAGAACACCAGUGGCGAAGGCGGCUCACUGGUCCGGUACUGACGCUGAGGUGCGAAAGCGUGGGGAGCAAACAGGG